rnacentral:lncRNA from 1 species
AUUCAGGAGUAUGGUUUUGUGCAAUCGAUCUCAAGGUUAACAAUUGAAUGAGUAAAGAAUUCGAUCUUUCUUAUGUUUAAGCCAGAACCUUUGGUGUGUUUGCUAUUUCUCUAAUAAUAAUAUUCAAAAUGCAUAUCUAUUAGUCAUUUUCCCAUGUCUGUGUUGUUUUCAAGUGAACAAUUGAAAGAAAUAUCCAAAGAUGGCAUAAGCUUCUUUAGAGGGCUAGCUAAUGGUUUGCAUUGUGCCACAAAUCCAUAUUUUGAGGAUUGCAGCAGCCCAGUGUUAGUAUUUAUAUGGAAAAUCCCAAAUAUGUUCCAGAACAAAUGCUGGUUCGAUUUUGAAAAGAAUGAAUGAGAGCUGAGCUAGCCAAAUGUGUAGCCUGCCGUCUGUGCCAAUACGCUCAUCUCUUAUAUCGGAACUGAAAGAGCUAAAUGCAGUUAAGCACAAGCUCCAACUCAUUUCUCAUCAGCCAUCCAAACUUCCUCAAAUAUACCUAUCGCUGAGCUGGUACAGCAGGAACGUCUGUUUGCCACUCUCGCUGAUUAUGUGAUGGGACUGGCAUUAUAGAAAUUACAGUAGCUCCCACACUGGUGUUUAUUGUUUCUAAUGCUGGAUACUGCAACCUGUAGGUGCUGUUCAGCAGAUCCCAUCUGCUUCAAAUCCUUGUGUUGUUUUAUUGAGGGUGCAAAUUAUCUGCCGGCCUGUAGGAUGCUUCAGCAUUCCAAAUUCCUGAAAUUUUGCUGGGAAUAAGGAUUAGUCUAACCAAACAAACCAAUCCAUCCAGCCAAAAUCAUUAUAUUUACCAAAUUCCUGCUACCUUUAAGGGACUCUCUUGGGCCAUAAACCCAUAAUGCCCCUUGAUAGCUGCGUUCUUCAAUUUAUUGUAAUUAAUUCGCAUUUUCCUUUAUAACAAUCAAAACGAAUUUAAUUAUUAAUAAGCCAAACUAAUUUGUUCACUCAAAAUGAUAAUUGAUCGUACUAAUUCAUUAUUAUAAUUAUUAAGUUCUUCUUGGUCGGACUUAUACAGCUUAUUUAUCUUACACAUAAUCUGCAUCCGGAUAAUCUGAUUAGUUAAUUCAUAAUCAAUUACAGAAUCCUAUUUUGAUCCUUUAUUCUAAUAUCAAGAAUAAUAAAAUGACUAAGAAGAUUAUGGUUUCUCAGUCUUGAAAAUACCAUAAGCUAUAAUGUUGCUCGUGUAAGUCUGAUGCAGUGAUAUCAAAUGACAGCAAAAGUGUAACAAAAUCAGGAAUUCAGAUCCGCUCUUUGUUUUUCUAAUUUUUGUCUAUCAAUGACUUUUAAGAGUGGCCCUAAUUAGAUCAGCAUUCUUUGUUUUUCAUAUAUUUAUGCUAAAGAGAGUUUCCCGGCAUAUAAGUUCCAAGAAUCACCAACAGCUGCAUCGAAGUGAAAAUAAAGUGCUGGAGAGCUUUAUUUGCUGUGUUUUUCUAUUCUCGCGGAUACUAAGUGUCAGUGGUGAUACUUUGCUACCUUGUGAAUUUCCGGCGAUUUACAGUUUUGGUUACUCCAAUUCGGACACUGGCAGCUCAUCACCUGCAUUUACACUAUUUCCAGCAGCAAAUGCAGCUGAUAGAGCUCGCGAUGGCGGUCCCAUUAUAGAUUUCCCGGGUUUAGGAUCAUUCUUAACAUUUCAUUUAUCCUGUUUAACGUAUAAACAUGAAAAUAUCAUCUACAAGUGGCAAAUGAGUCUUUCAUUGAGCUUGGAGGCAGUCCUUUCGUUCUUGAUGUGCAGAUUGAAAUUUAAUCAAUUCAAAGCACGCCGAAAAUUUUGAGUGUAAAAGUGCCCUUCGGGAUUCGAUAUUUCUUAAAAUAAUUUUGGAUGUUUUUUAAGCUCUCAGCUAAGAUUAACUCAGGCAGAGACAAGCUGCCAAGAUAGGAAGACUCACGCAUUUGAUAUUCGACAAAUUGAUCUUGCUCUAGGAUUUGUAACGAUGAGUUUGAUAAACUUGUUACAGAAUUACCAGGCAUCAUUAGCUGACAAGCUUCACCUUCUUACAGAAUUACCAGGCGUCAUUAGCUGACAAGCUUCACCCAUUAAAGUAAGGAGCAAUAUUAUCUACAGAAGUUAUCUUGGACUAACAAAUUUCCGAUUUGAUCACACUGGCCGAUUACGCUUUCAGAAUAAAUAUCAUCAAGGAGGGAGCGCACUUUGGAUACACAACACAAGGCGUAUCGGUUGAUUGCCAUUGAGUUCCCCCCCCCCCCCNNNNNNNNNNNNNNNNNNNNNNNNNNNNNNNNNNNNNNNNNNNNNNNNNNNNNNNNNNNNNNNNNNNNNNNNNNNNNNNNNNNNNNNNNNNNNNNNNNNNNNNNNNNNNNNNNNNNNNNNNNNNNNNNNNNNNNNNNNNNNNNNNNNNNNNNNNNNNNNNNNNNNNNNNNNNNNNNNNNNNNNNNNNNACAAUCGUAGUCCAAGAACAAGUCUUUCUUGAUGAACAUGGUUGCAUAAAAUCGAAAAAUGACAUGGCUGUAGAGUUCAACAGACAGCUUAAACAAAGAGUGAUCAAACUGAGAGCAGAGCUCCCAGAAGCAGCGAUAACAUUUGCGGAUGCACAUGCUGCAACAUAUGAAUUGACCAGGGAUGCGAAAGAAUUAGGUAGACAUUUCCUCCUCGGUUACUUCUGCUUGAUUCACGAUGACAUUGUUAGUUUGUUACAACACAUUUGUGGAUGCUGCCUAAACAGGAUAUGCUAAAUCCAUUCAAGUUCUGCUGUGGGUAUUAUGACAACACAACGUACGUGGGAUGUGGAAAAAAAAGGCAACCAUCAACAACGCAGAAGUGUAAGCGGCUCCUUGUGAACACCCUUCAGAAUCUAUAAGGUGAGAUGGUGUACACUUUUCUCAGGUUGCGAAUCAGUGGGUUGCUAGCUAAUCGUACAAUUAAUGGUUCAUUAACAGACCCACCAAUUCCAAUCAUCCAAGCAUGUGAUGGCGUAGGCACUAGGAAGUGAGAGUCUGCUUCAUAGUCAUACAUGCGAAUGAGAGAUGAUAUUUGCGUUGGCACUUUGGGGCGGUUCCAUUGCGUCAUAUAAAUUGAUGUUUCAAGUUAAUUGCUACAAACUGACUGGAAAUGCGCAACAGAAUUUACUUAAUUGAAAGAAAAGGUAAUAUGUAUUACAAUCAGAUUGUUUUAGGAAACUUUGACUUAAGCUUUUUAGCGCUUCAAACGACACUUAAGCUUCUCACUGGAAUCCAUCAUAAAAAGAAAAGCAUAGCAUGUUGGCAGUGUUGCUGCCGCUUUUGGGCAGAUUAAGAGGACUGUCAUUAGUUUGAGAAAGCAAGAAAGCCGAGUUUCUCACCUGGACACUUCAAAAAUGAAAAACAUAUUAAGUUGAACACUGGUCAGAUGAAUCAGAAUCGAGGAGUUUGGGCUGUAAGCCAUUUUACUAUCACAAUUUUGAACAAAUCUCACGGUAGGUAGGCAAUUGUUUCGUUUGAAAAUUUGAUGCAAGUGGCGCAGGGUAAUUUAGUCUAAAAGUUUAGUAUUUAGUUAGUUAAAAAAUAUUUGAGAAGUUAAAUUUAAAAAAUAUAAAAAUAUUGUGGCUAUUUUAUAAAUUUCUCACCAAUCAUCGCCUUCGCAAGAAAUAUACUUUGUCUAGUUCAAUUGAUUUAUGUAUAAUAAAAAGUGGCGGUAAAGUAGAAGAUUGAUUGUCAAUUUUAACACAAAUUACGGAGAUACGGACAACUCUUUGGUCCACAAUUCCACAUAUAGACAGACCAGACACGCAUUAUUAUCAACACCCCACCGACUUCACUUUUAAGGUACUUCAUUACGGCCACCAGAUCAUCAUCAAAUGGUGCCCAGCCUCGUUGCCAUUCACCAAUGAAAUGACGACCUAUGCAUUUAAUAGCACGGUCCGUUCCUGGACAAAAUUGGUCGCUCAUUCUCCCAACUCUAAUCUUAGCCGCAGUAUUCAUCACAUCAGUAGUCACCGACGCUUGGUCAUCCGAUUUGUGUAGCUCUUUUUCUAGUUCAAAUCCUUACUAGUUUACAAAAUCUACACAGCCGAACCUAAGCAUGGCUUUAAUGAUCAUAAUUCAUAAAUGAGAAAUUUAUAAUUUGUUAUUUAUAUUGGUAGAAUAAUCAUCAUUUUAUGCACUUAAAAUUUAAGGAUGUUUCAUCAAAGUCACACAUAUCAGGGUCUCGAAACCUGGACUAUGAGAACAAUUGUUGACGGCCACAUAACAAAACUGUAUGUAGUUGUGACUCAUUAGAUUUAGACAAAAUACGUUAAAGAUAGUUGUAAUCGUUGCCUAUGCAAUCUGUACUGGGCAGUGAGAGUGGAUUAGAGCAAAAGUUUGAACACAAUCUGCCAGUUAAGGCUUUGAGACAGAUCAAACAAGUUAAUUGAGGACACAGCACAUGGCUACUGUCAGUGACCAUUCUUAUAUCUGUUUUGUCUCGACGUUAGAAAAAAAAAGGGGGGGUUAAUUACUUUUAUCCGUAACAGUCUCCGGGUUUAUUAUAUAUAGAGAGAGUGCCCAGAAUCGGCAACAGUGGUGGAUAAGUGACAAUGUUGUUUUGGAGAGCUUUGGUUGCUGGGUUUUUACUAUUCACAUGGGGCGGCUUGGGUGUGAGUGGUGUCACUAAUAAAUUGCCACCGUGUGAGUUCCCUGCAAUUUACAAUUUUGGGGACUCAAAUUCGGAUACUGGUGGCAUUUCAGCUGCAUUUGAGCCAAUUCGAGCUCCACAUGGAGAGGGGUUCUUUCACAAGCCAGCUGGUAGAGAUUCUGAUGGUCGUCUCAUCGUAGACUUCAUUGGUAACAACUUCUAUUUUUACUUUUAUUUUUCUGAUUUUUCAGUAUUAUCUUUGGAGAACAUGAAACCCCCAUUUUCAAUAUUUCAUUCAUUUUGCAGCUGAGAGUGUGAAGUUGCCAUACUUGGGUGCAUAUUUGAAUUCACUAGGAACGAAUUUUCGGCAUGGUGCUAAUUUUGCCACUGGAGGAUCAACCAUUGGGAAGCCUAAUGAGACUAUAUACGAGUAUGGAAUUAGUCCUUUCUUUCUGGGUAUGCAGAUUACGCAAUUUAACCAAUUCAAAGCACGAACCAAAGAGCUGUACGAUGAAGGUUGGUUUAUUAUUUGCUGUUUAUAAAGAUACUUGCCCAUUAUGAUUCUGAUCAUUUGUUUGCAUAUUGUAUAACACGCUUUGUGAAAUGUGAUGCUCAGCCAAGAUUGCCUCGGAUAGAGACAAGCUGCCGAGACAGGAGGACUUUGCCAAGGCUAUGUACACGUUUGAUAUUGGACAAAAUGAUCUUUCUGUUGGAUUUAGAAAGAUGAGUUUUGAUCAACUUCGUGCAGCAAUACCUGACAUUGUUAAUCAGUUAGCUUCAGCUGUUCAAGUAAGUUGGCAUCUUUCUUUGCAGUUGCCUAAGCUAACAAAUUUUUGACUUGAUCAUAGUUUUGUCAGUUAGAUAAGUAAAAUUGAUACUUAUAGACUUAUGAAGAAGAAACACAACUGUCAAGUCUUCGGAGCUUAGUUUAGCUUUCCCUUUCAGAAACUGUCUCACCGAGCAUUUCAUCAAACAGAUUAUAUUUUCAACAAACACUCGAUUUCUUCAAUACUGUCUUGCAUAGAACAACUGUCACGAGCCUUGUUUAUUUCACUUUCAGAAUAUAUAUCAUCAAGUAAGUUGGCAUCUUUAAUUGCACUCGCCUAAGCUAACAAAUUUUUUACUUGAUCAUACUCGUUCAGUCAAUUUAAGUAAAAUUGACACUUAUGAAGAACAAACAAGUAAAAUUGACGCUUAUGAAGAAGAAACACAACUGUCAACUCUUCUGAACUGAGUAGUUCAGCUUCCCCUUCCAAAAACAGUCUCACGAGCAUUUCAUCAAACAGUUGGAUUUUCAUCAAAAACUUGAUUUCUUCAAUAGCGUCUUGCAUAGAACAACUGUCAUGAGCCAACUUUUAUAAUUCAAUUUCAGAAUAUAUAUCAACAAGGAGGCAGGGCAUUUUGGAUACACAAUACAGGGCCUAUUGGUUGCUUGCCAACCAAUUUUUUCUACAAUCAUAACCCACCACCGGGCUUUCUUGAUGAGCAUGGCUGCGUCAAGGAUCAAAAUAACAUGGCUGUGGAGUUCAACAGGCAGCUUAAAGAAAGAGUUAUCAAAUUAAGGACAGAGCUCCCAGAGGCUGCAAUUACGUAUGUAGAUGUUUAUGCCACAAAGUAUGAAUUGAUCAGCAAUGCAAAAACUUUAGGUAAUCAUUUCAUUCUUAAUUGUAAUUGCCACUCACUUAUCUGUCUAAGGUCACAAUGACAUGUCACUAUAUGUUGGUGGGUGCUUUUGUUUAAGAAUGACAGUGCAAAUUUCAUAUUUUGUUGUAAAGAUCCUCCUUUACUGUCCCUGCAGUGUACUUAUGCUAAAAUGUAGCAUUCAAGCUUUUACUGUUGCAGUGCUAUUACCAAAAUCACAAUUCUUGUGUGGAUGAUCAAAUAUAUGUUUUUGAUUUACUUUAUACAGGUUAUGCUGAUCCAUUUAAGGUCUGCUGUGGGUAUCAUGAGAACUAUCACCAUGUGUGGUGUGGAAACAAGGCAACCAUCAACAAAACUGAAGUGUAUGGGGCUUCUUGUGAAGACCCUUCAAAAUCUAUUAGCUGGGAUGGUGUACACUAUACGCAGGCUGCGAAUCAGUGGGUUGCUAAUCAUACUCUUUAUGGUUCACUGACAGACCCGCCAAUUCCAAUCACCCAAGCGUGUCAUAGGCAGUGAGGGUAUUUGUCAGUGUCAUACAUGGUCGAUAGAGAUUUUUGGGGAGGUCAUAGUGAAAAUUUCAAGUAUUUUUGGUACAAGAGAGCAGCAGAUCAGUAAGUUUUCUCUAUAUGAUUCAGGAGUAUGGUUUUGUGUAAUCGAUCUUAAGGUUGAUAAUUGAACAACCUCAAGAAUUCAAUCUUUAUUAUGUUUAAGCCAGAACCUUUGGUGUGUUUGCUAUUUCUCUAAUAAUAAUUUUCAGAAUACAUAUCUAUUAGCCAUUCUCGCAUGUCUGUUUAUUUCAAGUGAACAAUUGAAAGAAAUAUCCGAAGACAGCAUAAGCUUCUUUAGAAGGCUAGCUAAUGUGGAAUGGUUUGCACUUU